rnacentral:rRNA from 1 species
GACGAACGCUGGCGGCGUGCUUAACACAUGCAAGUCGAACGGGCCUUGUCCCCUUUUUUUUGGGGGUGGGGUUAGUGGCGAACGGGUGAGUAACACGUGAGUAACCUGCCCCUCACUUCUGGAUAACCGCUCGAAAGGGUGGCUAAUACGGGGUGUUCUGGCCUGCUCGCAUGGGUGGGUUUGGAAAGAUUCGACCGGUUUUGGUUGUUUUGGUGGGGGAUGGGCUCGCGGCCUAUCAGCUUGUUGGUGGGGUGAUGGCCUGCCAAGGCUUUGACGGGUAGCCGGCCUGAGAGGGUGGGCGGUCACACUGGGACUGAGACACGGCCCAGACUCCUACGGGAGGCAGCAGUGGGGAAUAUUGCACAAUGGGCGCAAGCCUGAUGCAGCGACGCCGCGUGAGGGAUGGAGGCCUUCGGGUUGUGAACCUCUUUCGCCAGUGAAGAAGGUCCUGCUCUUUGUGGUGGGGUUGACGGUAGCUGGGUUAAUGAAGCGCCGGCUAACUACGUG